rnacentral:rRNA from 1 species
UACGUAGGGUGCGAGCGUUGUUCGGAAUUAUUGGGCGUAAAGAGCUCGUAGGCGGUGUGUCACGUCGGCCGUGAAAACCUGCAGCUUAACUGUGGGCGUGCGGUCGAUACGGGCAUCACUGGAGUUCGGCAGGGGAGACUGGAAUUCCUGGUGUAGCGGUGAAAUGCGCAGAUAUCAGGAGGAACACCGGUGGCGAAGGCGGGGUCUCUGGGGCAACAACUGACGCUGAGGAGCGAAAAGCGUGGGGGAGCGAACAGG